AGAGGAGAAAACAGAGAGGGCAUAGGAUUUAUGCAGCUGAUGAACAGCAGAAUCUGGAAAUAGACCUCAGUAAAGUAUGUCCCCAACACCUAGCACAGUGGGCUAUACCUGGAAAGUGAUUCAGAAAUCUUUAUUGAACAGAAAAAGAAAGACUUCCACUCCCUUCUCUGCCAGUACCUGGGACAAGGGCCCCAUGAAGCAAUUUCACCCCUGCAGGGAUGCUGAAGGAGGCCUGUGGAAGAUACCAAUUUACCAUACUGAGUUUCUCCCUCUGAGAUCCUCCUGCAAGCGUGAUCAGGAAAGGGGAGAAUGAGAGGCUGCUUUGCCUUCUUCCAAGGCCUGAGAUUGGUGGGGGGGUGCGGGGGGUGGAGCAGAGAUGGAAGGCUCAGUAUUUCCCCUGGCCCACAGGCCUGCUGGCUGGUCAACCAGGCCCCUCCUCUGGGAUAAGCUGGUGGGGGGGGGAAGCAUCUGAGCCCAUGCCCCAGCUCCUCAACUACCUCUUUGUAAAAGGGAGCGCCUGUCCCCUGCCACCUGUUCUUAAUCUAGCCCUGGGUAAUCCAUUCUGUACUGUGUCAGCAGUUCAAAAGGGCACUGUUAGUAUUUUUUGCCGACUUCAAUUAACGUGAGAUUUCCGAGGCCCCCCCUCCGAUCACAUUUCACAUGUCACAAGUUGGGAACAAAACAGACAGACUCCAGUUGGGAGGAGAGAGGAGAAGUUUAUUCCAACAACAACCAAGCAAAUUAUUUGGGCCGGUGUCCAGUGAUGGGAGACUCUGGGAAAGCCCAGCUGCUCCGGCUCUCCAUUUUGUCCCAGAACACACCCAGAAGCCCCUUCCGAAGAUGUCCCCCCUCCCCAAAUUAUGUAAGUGCAAUAACUUACUUUCAGUGAAAUAAACCAAAGGCAAGAACAUUUUUUUCUUAAUAUUUUGCGGCAAUGAACUUGUAGUACAUGGUGGUAUAAGGCAAUAAAACUUUAUUGAGUCAA